UUCUUCGAUCUUCGACAAAAUGCACCGAUCCCUUCAAGACUCCGACUCAAUUCACGAAACUUGCCAACUCAAAAUACUUAACAAUCUCCCCCUUUGGCAAUUUCGUGACAAAACUCAAAAACUCAAAAUUACAUCAUAAACGAACAACGAAGUUCAAUGUCAUCACCAAAACAUUGAACCCCUCGCGUGUAAUCCAAAUACAAUAUGAAGUUCAAAAUUACAACGUCAAAACUCAAAACCCCUAAAACAAACUCUAUGACUUAGACGCAACUAGGAGUCUUGAAGUCUUGAUUUCUGCAAAACAAAUUAUCCAAAAACGAUGUAGAAAUUUAAAAACAUUAGAUUCUUAUACCUUCAAUGUCAUUGUCCUCGAAAUACUUUUCUUCUCCUCUUCUCCCCCUUUGUUCUUCAAUUUUCUCCCCCUCUUUUGAUCAAUACCUGUCCAUCUAUGUUCUCCCCCUUUUUAUCAAAAAUUGUCAAAACAGAGCAUAUAGAGAGAAAACAUACUAGAAAACAUACUAGAAAAUAUAUAGAGAUUUUUAGAGAGAGAAAGAGAGCGAUUUGAUUACAUUUGGGGCAAGAAAUAAAGCCCGUCACCGGUUUAUGAAAUGCAGUCUUCAGUGCUGGUACCGGUACAUGGGAUUUUGUACCAGUAACAGUUGCCAGAAUUUCAAAAAAUUUGCCUAAAAAUCCUUCAAGAUUAAAUUAAUUUUAUAAUAAUUAAGGAUUGUACUCAAAAAAUCAUUAUAAUGAAUAUAAAAUAUUAUAUAAUUUCUUAAUUCAUCUAAACAUCAAAAUUAUGUUAUAAAAAAUAAUCUAAUGAUUCAAAACCAUCAAGAUGUAACGGUUCAUGAAAAAUGACAUUUAGAAAUUCGGCAAAAUUGACAUCAAUUUGUCGCAAAUCAUUCAAAAUAGAGAUUUAACUAAUAAAACACCAGGGAUGGCUCUUUGAGCAUCUUUUCAUCCUACCAUCUUAUAACUCCGAAAAAUCUAAAAUAUUCAAUUUUUUUUCAACCUUUUCGGUUAAUAAAUUAAUUUCCAUGUGGUAUCUUCACACACUUGCCGUACGACCGGGGUGGUAGCUCUUUCCUACAUAUGGUGGUAGUUUUCACACUUUUUUUUGAUGUAACUCUUACCACAUCUUUUUAAACAUAGGAGUAUAUUUUUUUAUUAUUUGAUCAUCAUUUUUUUUAAAUAAUUCAAACUCGCCCUAAAUUAGACAAUCUCACAAUUGAAAGUAAUUUUGACAAAUUUUAGUCUAUUAGCGAAUAUCUAUUCAUCAUAUUCAACACACACAACCAAGAUAGAUUAAUCACCAAGAGAUCAAAUUUGAUUCCAAAAUUUUGAUGAAUAUAUAUACUAAGAAAUCAUAUAAUAAAUUAUCGUCAAAAUAAUGAAAGUGGAGUAAAACCGAUAAUUAAUAUAAAUUUAACUCAAGAUGAAUGUGAAUUUAAAAAAACAGUUAAGGCACUUUGAAAAAUUUAAUCUCCCCAAAUUAAUGAUUUUAAAAACAUCACCUCUCUCAAAUUUUUCAAAUUUUAAUUCCCAAUCACCUUUCUCGAAAACGAUUUUCUUUUUUUAAAAAAAUUUCAAAAACAAAUUUCAAGCAUAAAAAAUCGUCAUGUAAUGCAAUGAAUAAAUGUCACGCCCCGGGGUCCCUUUUUAGUUUAAAGCAUAGCGGAAAAGCGUCUGAACUUUUUUUUUUUUGAAAACCUAACCCCAGGGUAUGCCAGAUCCGCCACAAAUACAGAAGAUCCACUGUUCACACGGACAGAGUCUCCCCUGUAUUUGCACGGCGUCGCACAAGUACAAGAGUUCAAACAUGAUACAACCACAGCCAGAUGAACAUACAAAUAACCACAGUUAUAUAUUCAUACACCAUUCACCCCAGGUUCACAUUUUUACAUUCAAUAUUUAAACAUAAAUCCACAUCUAUCAGUUAAAAUGUUUCCAACCAUAGAAACAAGUUUUGAAAUACUAAGAUGCAAAAUCCAUAGAAAACCUUUU
rnacentral:lncRNA from 1 species